GAUAGAUUUUUUUUUUUGUUACACAUGUGGCUGAAAGUCGGUGUAUGUUAAAAUAAUAACCUGCAGGCUGAUGUUAAUGAGUUGUGAAUCAGCAACAGGUUAAUUAGUUUUGUUUUUCUGCUGUUUUUUGCACGUGACUAAAUUCAAUCAGCACGAAUUACUUUUGCUAUCCAGCUCCGUUAUCUUUGCUCAAAUGAGUCCACGGUGGAAGAUUAUAGGUGUUUUGGUUAUAAAUGUGAAACUUAAACGUCCACAGAGAAGCUGUUUUUCCGCUAUGCGUGCAUUUAAUUUUCAAUAAAUAGGUGCUGAAAGCCGCUGCGAUCGCCGACUGUUUCCCUCUUCUUCCUCUGGAGAGGUGGAGGCUGUUUGGUUGGAGAUAUGGGUCGGAAGUACCGUAGUUUAUGUAUGCUAAUAGGGGAGUUGGGGGUUGUAGCUAGAUAUUUACGUUCAGUGGGAGACGCCCUUCAUUCACCCACAUGGUUACCAACGGGUCGUCUUCGCGCCACUUUCCUAAGCUCGCUAUCAUUUUUAAGCAGUGUAACUGGGCUAUAAAUUGACCCGCAAUCGGCUCGGAUUUCACUUCAUGUCUCGUUGUGUCCGCCGUUUGAAAAGUUUGCGGGAUAGUUGUGUAUUUAUUCGUCUCUUUUGUCGGUGAGAGACUACACGGCAGCCCAAGCAAGUGAGCGAAGAUGGUGGAUUUCGGCUGAUUCACCGACCUUCCCAGGAGGUGCAGGAUCCCCCCCACCCUAAUCAAACAAAGUUGCCUCGUGGAGCAGCAUGGCUGGCCUUCCGUGUGAUGCUGUAAUGGUCUGUGUAUUGCCAAAGUGCUUACAGUGCAGGUAGUACUAUGGAAUACCUACUGCAGUGGAGGCACUUACAGCAAUACCCUGACACUGAUGUGCACAAUCUUCUGAUGUUUCAUGAUGUUUUUUCUUCUUCUUUUUUUUUUCGUUUGAAGUACUGUCUUUGUGCUAAGGUGCAUCUAGUGCAGAUAGUGAAAUAGACUAGCACCUACUGCCCUAAGUGCUCCUUCUGGCAUAAGGGGCUGUGAUAAGCGCCACCAAACAGUGUUUUUUUUUUCUUUUCUUUUUUUGAAUUUCUAAUUGGGCUCAAAUAUCUCGCAGUUCUCUGCUAGUUUUGCAUAGUUGCACUACAAGAAUAUAUGAGUUGUGCAAAUCUAUGCAAAACUGAUGGUGGCCUGCUUGCUCUCCACCUGUUUAGAUUUGCUUUUGUUUAAAAUUUUGGUGUCACAUCAGCCUGAUUAAAUUCAACUAUGACAGUUUUAAAAAAACAAAGCCAAAUUGGAGUGUCUGCCAGUAAUCGUCCAAUGAACUCAGUUUCAGCAGUAUUAAAGUGCUUAUAGUGCAGGUAGUGUUUUGCACAAUCUACUGCAAUGUAAGCACUUGAAGUACUUCUAACUGCAUCUUUCUGUGGAAUGGCCGAAGGUGGAUUUCUGUCGAUCGUCGCGUGGUCAGUUUUGCUGGUUUGCAUUCAGCUUUAACGGGUGUUUGCUGUGCAAAUCCAUGCAAAACUGACUGCGUUGAUGAGCUAUAUUCUGCUAAGUGGGACUGGCAAACUUCAUCAGAGGUUCUUUAGGUAUUAUUGCAUAUGAUCGGAGACUGAGACAUCCCUUUCUGUGUAGGUGGGGAUCGGUAGCAAUGCUGUGUUCCUCCAGGUAUUGCACUUGUCCCGGCCUGUGUGGAAACGAGGAAAUUGAGCGGACCUGAAUCUUAACUGGAUAUGUUGGUUAUUCAUCCAUUUGUUAACAGCGUUUUAGCCAGUUUGGCGUGAGGUGAAUGGAACUUUAAAAUUUUCAGGUGUUUAUUGUAACACUUCUUGAAAGAUUAAAUUUCUAAUGCCUAUU